GGACGAUAAAGACAGACAGGAGGAGGAAGAACACAUCAAGAAAGCACUUACAAACUGCCACAUCCAACAUGGGCUAUAACCGAAGGAAAACAACAAGCAAAAACCAAAGAGAAAAAACUAAAGGAAGCAAAAUCAAAACACACACAAAAAUUGGACAAUAAAAAUAAGGAUUUAAUCACCAUUCCAUAUAUCCGUAACAGAACCAAUACAACGCAUUAUGAGAAAAUAUAACAUCAACACUGCAGUAAAACCAAACACAAAACUCCAGCAGCUAUUAGUCCAUCCCAAAGACAGAAUAGAACCGGACAAUAAAUGUAACAUCAUCUAUGAAAUACCGUGCAAAUCAUGUAGCAACACAUACGUUGGUGAAACAGGCAGAUCAUUCAAAACAAGAAGAACGGAACACCAAACAGAAUGUAAAAAGGAAACAACUGGACGUUUCACAAGAGCACGAAAAGAAAAAGCAGAACAAGAAAAUAAAAAAUCAGCCAUCACGGAUCACUGCAGAAGACAAAAUCCUGUUAUGGACUGGGAUGUGGGGAGGAUUAUAACUUCUGAGACUAAUAAGCAGAGACGAUGGAUCAGGGAAGCCAUCGAGAUCAGGAAGCGGGUAGGUACACUAUGAACCAGGAUGAGGGGGUCUACAUCCUCUCACAUAUGGGACACCAUCCUCCAGAGAGCACCGGGCGGUGGGAGGCGUGGUCGGUUUGACAGAUUCUGACAGAUCUGUCAAACCGACCACGUGAUAAAAAAAAGGACACGUCAGCAAACGUCAGAUGACGCUCUGAAGAAGACAGCAGAAGCUGUAGAAACAUGUCAGCAAGACGGGAGGAGCAGCAGGUGAUCCAGGUACAGAGUUCAGGGAGGAAACAACAAAAGUUUCAGUGAAUUCAGACUCCAUUUUCCAGUGGACAGAGGACAACAACAAGUGUUGCUGGUUUAACUCUCAGACUGAGUGAUGAUGAAGAGUGAUGUGGAGGAAGAGGAGGACGGAGCAGAGCCUCCAGCAUCCAGCCGUCUGUCCAUGAAGAGUGACCCAUCCAAAGAUCCUCCAGACUCCAGGAAAGAAGCUGAACCCUCAGACACAAAGGUAGAAACACCUCAAACUGUCCUUCUUGGGAUUUUGGAGGAUUUGGAAGAAGAAGACUUUAAAAAAUUCAAGUGGUUGUUGUGUCAGAAGAUCCUCAAAGGCUUUGAACCAAUCCCAAAGCGUCGACUGGAGAAAGCAGACAUGACAGAAACAGUGGAUCAGAUGUUUCAGAGCUACUGCAUCUACACCAUUAAAGUCGCUGUAAAGGCUUUGGAGAAGAUUCCCAGAAAUGAUCUGGUGGAGAACAUCCCAAAAAGCAUCAAAGAACCUGAAGAGAUUCUCACUGAGUGUCAACACAACCUGAAGUCUGCUCUGAAGAAGAAGUUCCAGAGAGUGUUUGAGGGCGUCGCUACAGAAGAACAAACCCUCCUGAAUGAGAUCUACACAGAGCUGUACAUCACAGAGGGACGGACUGCAGAGAUCAGUGAUGAACACGAGAUCGGACAGAUUGAAGCAGCAUCCAGGAAAGCAGACAGAGCAGAAAGAAACAUCAGACUUGAAGACAUCUUUAAAGGCUCACCUGGAAGAGAUGGACCAAUCAGAACAGUGAUGACAAAGGGAGUGGCUGGCAUCGGGAAAACAGUGUCAACACAGAAGUUGACUCUGGACUGGGCUGAAGACAAAAGCAACCAGGACAUCCACUUCAUGUUUCCAUUCACCUUCAGAGAGCUGAAUGUGCUGAAAGAGAGAAAGUUGAGCUUGGUGGAACUUGUUCAUCACUUCUUCAGUGAAACCAAAGCAGCAGGAAUCUGCAGGUUUGAACGCUUCCAGGUUGUGUUGAUCUUUGACGGUCUGGAUGAGUUUCGCCUUCCUCUGGACUUCCACAACAAAACACUCCUGACUGAUGUUACAGAGUCCACCUCAGUGAAUGUGCUGCUGACAAACCUGAUCAGGGGGAAUCUGCUUCCCUCUGCUCACCUCUGGAUAACCACACGACCUGCAGCAGCCAAUCAGAUCCCUCGUGGCUGUGUGGACAUGGUGACGGAGGUCAGAGGGUUCACCGACCCACAGAAGGAGGAGUACUUCAGGAAGAGAGCCAGAGAUGAGAAGCAGGCCAGCAGCAUCAUCUCCCACAUGAAGACAUCACGAAGCCUCCACAUCAUGUGUCACAUCCCAGUGUUCUGCUGGAUCACUGCUACAGUUCUGGAGGAGCUGCUGAGAAGCAGAGAGGGAGGAGAUCUGCCCACAACCCUGACUGAGAUGUUCAUCCACUACCUGGUGGUUCAGACCAAAGUCAAGAAGGUCAAGUAUGAAGGAGGAGAAGAGACAGAUCCACACUGGAGUGAAGACAGCAUUAAGAUGAUUGAGUCUCUGGGAAAACUGGCUUUUGAGCAGCUGCAGAAAGGAAACCUGAUCUUCUAUGAGUCUGACCUGACAGAGUGUGGCAUCGAUAUGAGAUCAGCCUCAGAGUACUCAGGAGUGUUCACACAGAUCUUUAAAAAGGAGGGUAAUCUGUACACCAACACCGUGUUCUGCUUCAUCCAUCUGAGUGUUCAGGAGUUUCUGGCUGCUCUUCAUGUCCAUCUGACCUUCAUCAAGUCUGGAAUCAACCUGCUGGAAAAACAACAAAGGUCUCUGUUGUCUAAAGUGUUCAGAAAGAAAGUUGAUCCAACUACAGCUUUCUACCAGAGAGCUGUGGACGAGGCCUUACAGAGUCCAAACGGACACCUGGACUUGUUCCUGCGCUUCCUCCUGGGUCUGUCACUGCCAACCAAUCAGAAGAAACUAGGAGGCCUGCUGACACAGACAGGAAGCAGCUCACAGACCAAUCAGGACACAGUGGAGUACAUCAAGAAGAAGAUCAGGAAGAAAGUAUCUGUAGAGAGAAGCAUCAAUCUGUUCCACUGUCUGAAUGAACUGAAGGAUGUUUCUCUAGUGGAGGAGAUCCAACAGUCCCUGAGAUCAGGACGUCUGUCCACAGAUAAACUAUCUCCUGAUCAGUGGUCAGCUCUGGUCUUCAUCUUACUGUCAUCAGGAGAAGAUCUGGAGGAGUUUGACCUGAAGAAAUACUCUGGUUCAGAGGAGGCUCUUCUGAGGCUGCUGCCGGUGGUCAAAGCCUCCAAGAAAGCUCAGCUGAGCAGGUGUAAACUCUCAAAGAGAAGCUAUGAAGCUCUUGCCUCAGUCCUCAGAUCUCCAUCCUCCAGUCUGAAAGAACUGGACCUUAGUAAAAACUGGAACUUGAAGGAUUCAGGAGUGAAGAGUCUUUCAGCUGGACUGAAGGAUCCAAACUGUAAACUGGAGUCUCUCAGAUUGGAGGACUGCGGUUUGUCAGAGAUCAGCUGUGAUUCUCUGGUCUCAGCUCUGAAGUCCAACCCCUCACAUCUGGAACAUCUGAACCUGAGUGGAAACAACCUUCAGGAAUCAUCAGUGAAACAUCUGAGUGGUUUUGUGGAGAGUCCAGACUGCAUCCUGAAGACUCUGAGAUUGUUUCACUGCAGUUUGUCAGAGAUCAGCUGUGAUUCUCUGGUCUCAGCUCUGAAGUCCAACCCCUCCCAUCUGGAACAUCUGGACCUGAGCUGGAACAACCUGAAGGAUUCAGGAAUGAAACAUCUGAGUGGUUUUGUGGAGAGUCCAGACUGCAUCCUGAAGACUCUGAGAUUGUGGCGCUGUGGUUUGUCAGAGAUCAGCUGUGAUUCUCUGGUCUCAGCUCUGAAGUCCAACCCCUCCCAUCUGGAACAUCUGGACCUGAGCUACAACCACCUGAAGGAUUCAGGAGUGAAACAUCUGAGUGGUUUUGUGGAGAGUCCAGACUGCAUCCUGAAGACUCUGAGACUGGAGGGCUGCAGUUUGUCAGAGAUCAGCUGUGAUUCUCUGGUCUCAGCUCUGAAGUCCAACCCCUCACAUCUGGAACAUCUGGACCUGAGCUUGAACAAACUGAAGGAUUCAGGAGUGAAACAUCUGAGUGGUUUUGUGGAGAGUCCAGACUGCAUCCUGAAGACUCUGAGAUUGGAGAAAUGCAGUUUGUCAGAGAUCAGCUGUGAUUCUCUGGUCUCAGCUCUGAAGUCCAACCCCUCCCAUCUGGAACAUCUGGACCUGAGAGGAAACACCCUGAAGGUUUCAUUAGUGAAACAUCUGUUAGAUCUUGUGGAGAGUCCAGACUGCAGCCUGAAGACUCUGAGAUGGAAGUGAUGCUGAUCAGGACGGUGUUUGUUCUGAGAGGAUGAAGUGUGUCCUGAUGAUCCAGAGGUUGAAGCAGCAGCAGCAGCUGGUGUGUAGAGACUCUGACUGGACCAUGUUACUGGGAGGUGGAAAGCUUCAUGCAGCAGUGACUGACAGGAAGCAGAAGAAGUGGAGAUGAGUGUCAGUGCUGCAGAAUGAACUGAUGUGAGAACAGCUGUCCAGCAUGGUCCCUGUGUUCCUGUGGAUGUGACAGAGGAUCAUCAGUGGAUGUGGACUGCUCUGCUGCUGCUCUGUCCUUCGACUGAGACUCCUGUGUAGAUCCUGGAUGGAUGUUUAAUGCUGCAGCGCCGCCCUGUGGAAUGACGGAGUACUGCAGUUAAUUUACACACAACUUUUCUGAACAAUGUGAUGAGUUGAAAUGAAAAAAGCUCCAUCCAGCCUCUCUGGGUCCAGACCUGUGAAUGUGUCCUCUGCUCUGAGUCCACUGAUGUCUGAUAUCAGUCAACAUCCAGCAUGAACGUUUGAGGCUCCAACAGCAGCCUGGUGUCGUCAUUUAACUGAUAAAUAACUUGUAACAGAAGAUAAAACCUGAACAAAGUGGAUUUAAUCAGAGUUUGACUGUCUGAACAGAGUAAAACAUGUUAAUUAUCUGUAGAUUUGGUGUAAAGUCAGUGAACAACAGCAAAGUGAAAUAAUUUCAGUGUUUGACAGAAAGAGAAUCCUCAAAGUGUGAUUAUUCUUCAGUGAGUCUGAAUGGAGCCAGCAGGAAGGUUUGUUCCUUCAUCACAGCUCAAUCAAUGUAAAUAUGUUCCUCUGGUUUUCUUCCCGUUGUAAACGUUCAGAUACAUGGAGAUCUAAUCCUGAUGCUCCUCAGCGGAGCUUCACUGUUUCUCCACAGUGCUGAUGUCCUGCUGCAACAGACUGACUUGAUGAAGAGAAUCUGUUGAUCAGAGACUGAAGUCCUUCAGCAGGAUUUACUGAGCGGACAAGUCAACAGUGUCUGCUUUAAUACACUGAAUAAAGUUUGUUUCUUUGUUCCCACA